UUUCAAAAACGUUGCUGUGGAAAUUCUAAAAUGUCUUGACAACAUGGUCGGUCUAACUGUACUUUCCCUCAUUGAUUACAAUACUUAUUGCAUGGCUGUGAUAUAUGUGUAUGUAGUCUACGGAGAGAAUCAUACUUGGAUUUAUUGAACACAUUUUAUUUUUUUCUAAACUCAAACAUUCAGUGUUCUAUUGUCUUGUCGCUCGGAAUCAUCAUGUUUCCAUGGUAAUCUGACUGGCAAAACUGAUGUCAAAGCUUCAGGGAGAGGCGAGUAGUAGACUUGCACAAAGCUUUCAGCGCACGGUCAGCGUCUCAGCUGAGUAGUGUCAUUCGAACGCGGUAUGCAAAACUCCACUGAAUCUUGAGGAGGGUGAAUGAGAGAACUCAUUAUUGAGCGUAUUAGAGCCCAAAUGAUCUGUCAGUCGGCUGUCGCCUGCACUGUCGGCUGCAAUGUCGAACAAGCCCAAUGAGAAGGACAUGACGCGGCGAUUCAAUUGUCAUAAGUGGAGAUACUGACUGCAAUGUAAGGCCAAAUCAUUCAGGGGAUCUACUAUGCUGAGGACACCCCUAGUUGACUGAUUGCGGAAGUUGCAUACUUUUGACAUUAUGCACAACUAUUUGGAGACUAAUUUGGAACCCAAAUGGUCAUCAUUCUGCUUUUCUUCUCUGCUUUUCCAAGACACAUUAGCUGGACUGAAAUAUACUUUUACUGUAUUGAAGAUCUUGUUAAAUAUAUGUUCUCUUGUGAAUAUUGUUGGAGAUGUUUAUUUAGUGAACUUAUAAGAUAAAGUUAAACCUUGAUGUGUUUUUGCCUUACUUUGCAAGCCAUAUUGGUUUGUGUAAGGAUCCAGAAAUAUUAUGCAUGAUAUGAUUUAUCACUAGUGCAUUUCAUCACUAGUGUGUAUGUCUGUCUUUUCGUCUUGCAUUCAUUUUGCAACUUGCCAUAUUUCCAUUGUGAAGAUGUGUGGUAACAAAAGCACAGUAAAGACGACCAUCUCCUAUUCACACUUCCCUGUCUGGCCAUGGUUCUGCAAAAUAGUUUGUCCACAGUUUCAUAGUUGUGGUGUUACACAAACACACACACACACAUUCCCCAAGUUGGACAAAUAGCUUAUGGCACUUUGCUUAUUUCACUUAUCUGAGAGAUAGGAAUGGUGACAAAUGAUGGGUGAAGACUUUCUCCUCUCAGGUGACAGGUCAGGGGCAAAGAGCCUUUCAGGGUCAGUGAUAGAAGUGAUAGCCAUUCUCUCUCUCCCUGCACAUUCCUUUCUUAACAGCUCCCCUUGGAAGAAUUCUGCUGAAAUAUCCUCUGUGUACAACGUAGAACACCAAAUAAUGCAUGCAGAUCAAAAUUAGGCCGAUACCCGCUAAUUAUCCAAAUCCAGAAAAGAGCCGUUCAAUUCUACAACCACCUAAAAGGAAGCGAUUCCCAAACCUUCCAUAACAAAGCCAUCACCUACAGAGAGAUGAACCUGGUGUCACGACUUCUGCCGAAGUCGAUGCCCCUCCUUGUUCGGGCGGUGUUCAGCGGUCGAUGUCACCGGUCUUCUAGCCAUCAUUGAUCCAUUUCUCAUUUUCCAUUGGUUUUGUCUUGUCUUCCUACACACCUGGUUCCAAUCUCAUUCAUUACAUGUUGUGUAUUUAACCCUCUGUUUCCCCUAAUGUCCUUGACAGAGAUUGUUUGUGCAUAUGCUCGUGUAUUAUGGAUUGGUGCAUGAUGGGUUUUUGUACCCACUUUUAUUUAUUAUGUACUUUGGUUUUGGAGUUUUAGUAAUGUUAUUAAAAUACUCCAUUUACACCAAGUUCGAUUCUCCUGCGCCUGACUUCCCUGCUACCUACACACACGACAUUACACCUGGAGAAGAGUCCCCUAAGCAAGCUGGACCUGGGGCU
rnacentral:lncRNA from 1 species